rnacentral:rRNA from 1 species
UACGUGAGGGGCAAGCGUUUGUCCGGAUUUAUUGGGCGUAAAGAGCGUGUAGGCGGCCAUGCAGGUCCGCUGUGAAAACUCGAGGCUCAACCUCGAGACGUCGGUGGAAACCGCAUGGCUAGAGUCCGGAAGAGGAGAGUGGAAUUCCCGGUGUAGCGGUGAAAUGCGCAGAUAUCGGGAAGAACACCCGUGGCGAAGGCGGCUCU